ACCACGAAAUGGCAUGCAAAGGAGAGAGCUGAUGGACUGGUUUCCUCACUGGGCCUCCUCAGGCUCAUCUUUGCAGGUCUCCUGGAGAGAGCGUACUUGUGUCAGACAAGGCUCCAUUGUAAGACUGAUGGCCAACACGGGAACUCCCAGCGUGAGCCCUGGAUAAGAGGCAGGUAGAAAACUGGUGGGAAUGAACAGGGCUCUGUAGACGCCACUGACCCCAAUGACCUUCUGAGGAAACAAGCAGACACAACAAGACGUCAGUGACCGCAGCUUCCCAGUUGGCAAAGGCAAUCAGCUCUAAACGAGCAACUCCACUCUGGGUCAGGCCCACCCUCCGUCCAUUCAGCUCAACACUGAAUCUCUUGUGGUGGCACCAAGGACGCAUUGAGGGGCAUGUCAGCAAAGAGGCCCGUCUAUGUUGACAGGAGUGGUGCAGCUAUCUAGCAAGAAAUAACUCACGGAAAUGUCUCAAGAGAUAUAUUUGAGAUCUGACAGAAUCCAAAGGGGCCGCUGUCCAGGGCUCCAGAAGAUCCCCAUGCCAUCACCUAUCCACUCUCGUUUCUGUUUCAAACCUUAUUCUGGAGGGUUCAGGAAGUGAGUCUGCAGACUGCCCGAUAACGAUCAGAGACCACUUUGGUGAUGCAUGCGGGAUGGGGAAGGGAGGCAUCACGGAGCUACGGGCAACUGUAGGAGGAAGUGCAGUGUUGCCCUGGGGUUACUGGCCACUCUGGAGGAGGCUCUCAAGGAGCGUGAGUCUUGCCCUGCACUGAGUUUGGAGGACUCCUACAAAAACACGGUGGGAACACGCCCAGAGCAGAUACUUGCCGACUGCACCACUGAGACUCCCAGACAAAAACCACUGUCAUUGGAUAGCAAAGCGUGGGCACAGACAGAAGCAAUGGGACUGAGAUCCCAGGUAGACCAAAGAUCCGAGUUGGGGCAUUCAUGGAGAGAAAAGGCAUCAUCUUGGGAUGGCCCAAAGAGAGAGAUAUGAAGGGCGGGGAACAAUCCUGUUUUACAGGCAGUAGACUGAUACUAGACUUCUGUGCCCUACUUUGGCUCCAGCGUUUACAAAAUGACAUGAAGGAAACCGGUGAGGACCCAGAGGCCAGCAACAAGCACGAUGAAAGGGAUAGAAAAAAUGGUCCUCUGAAGCAAGAUGAAAGGAAAUAUGUUGUGUAUCCUGGAGAAAAAAGGUUAAGGGGUGACAGUGAUUGCAUUCAAAUACAGGUGGGGUUUAGGAGGGGGGCACAGAUCAACUCUUCUCCACAUGCAAAGGGAGACUGAAGGGAAGUAACAGACUUAAAUAAGAAGGUGGAGUGUUCAUUGGCUAGAACGAACAAUGUAUGGAAGGGUACAAGCUAAUAGGGAUCUUGGAUUUUAACAUGUCCCAAAUAGAAUUUCUCUUCUCGUUUUUCCCUGUCCCCCACCCCCACCCCACCACUGCCCCUAAACUCCUGACACUCCUGAAGUCUCCCCUAUUUCAAUCAACAAUACCAACACUUACCCCGGCCAAGUAAAAAACCCUAGGGAUCAUUUACAUUUCCUUCCUUUCCCUACCCACCCCCAACCCAGUCCCUCAGUAGGUCUUGUCAGCUUUACUUCUGAGUUUGACUACUGAUUUCUAUUUCCACUGUCACCUUGCCAGUCGCAUUGCCAUCGCCUGCUUGGACCCAAGCCAGGAGGAUCCUUGUAUCUUCCUUUAAUCUGUUCUCCCUAUGGCUGUUUUUAGAACAUGAAUCAGACCCUGUUAUUCCCCGGCUCAACCCUAUCCAAAGACUUCCCAUCAUGCUUGGAACAAAACUCAUACUCUUUACCACGGCCUUUGAAGUCCUGCCUCACAGGCUUCCUGCCCGCUGUCCCCAUCCAUCCCUCUCUCCCUGCCACUCACGCUGGCCACACUGACUUUCUGGCUGUUCCUGAACAAGCCACUGCUGGUCCAUCUUUGCGCCAGCUGCCCCCUCUGCCUUGCUCUUUAGUUGGCUGGUUCUGUUUUGUCAUUCUGGUCUCGGCUUAAGUGUCACUUUUGCAGACUUCUUCCAGCCACUAGAAGUGUAUGCUCUGAGGGUAGAAAGUAGAAACUAUCUUCUUCAUGAUGGUAUUUUCAAGCCUCGAAUGGGCAUCUGACACACUGGAGUAAGGCAAUAAAUAUUGGUUGAAUAAAGACAAGGUUGACUAUAAAAGCAGGUUGUUACUUGCUCUCUCAAGAGAGCUGGAGAUGAGAAAAAGAAGCUUUUGUGAAGAGACUAUAGGGGAUCUUUUGGUCAGAGAGCCACAGGGCUGGGUACUUUGGAAGUGGGGAAGGUGUGGGGGGCUUGCCUCAUCUACUGAGGUCCCAGUGAAGAGUUAAACCCAGCGUGGUAUCAUCCUUAUUAGGGCAAGGAAUUUGGGGGGAGUUACGUUGAGCAAGAGAAAAAGCCAUUGACCUUGGGUCUCAGAGGGCAGUCACAGUGGACGGAGAAAAGGACGGAGAUGUAAGAUCUUCUAACCCACUCAAAAAACUUUAAGUUGGAUCGCCUGUUAGGAUGAAUUGAGGUUUCUAUUUUCCUUCUUCUUCAUACUGAGUCACAAGACUCUCUCUUGGGUGAGUGUGAGCUUCUCCCUUAUCUUCAUGAAAGUUAAUCCCUCGUUCUACCUCCGUAACAUUUGUAAGGCACUGCGGUUUCAAGUUCUCACAGGAAAUGCUGAGUCAUCUUCAAUCAACCUUCACAUAGACUACUCUGAUUCAGAAUUGGACCACGGCGGGAUGGGAAGGACCACUGAAAGGCAUGAUCGCAAGAUUUCUGUAAACCUUUCAUAUAACGACUUACCGUCACCCUAGCCAAUUAGCCAAGGCUUUAAAACCAAGGCCAAUGGCUUCUAUUUUAUUUUUGCUCUCAAUUUUCCCCCAAAGCUGAGGGCCAUCUUUGACUGGGGACUCUAUAAAUGUUAAGGAGUGCUUGGCUCAGAAACCUCAUAGAAAACAUAACUCUAGCAGGUUUUAGGUAGGCUUUGUUACCCUUCGGUUCAAAAUCCCAAAGCGUUAUCAUCGGGUGGCAGAGAGAGUUGGAAUAUAAUUAAAAUAAAGGUAGAAGCUUCAUUUUAAAAAUAAUUUAUGGCCUCCCUCUCCACCAGACCUCCCAGCGACGACAGUUUUAAUUGUGCUUUUUAAGGCUAGCAUCCUGAUUUUCCACAUUUAACGCUGCUUCUCAAAUGUUUGAGAAAGGCCAAUAAAAAUCCCCUCCAGUAUAGAAAUCCAAGUUAAAAUUGCUCUCCAUUUCAAGAAGUAUUUCUUAGACUCUAUCUGUUCCCUGAGACUUGCCAGUGAUACAUAUGACCAUACGAUAUGAUGACAGACUACAACAUGGACUGGGUUCUUUAUAAAUCAAUAAUCGGAGGAGGGGUGAGGGACUGUCCGCUUUGGUGAUUUCAUUUCCAGCCACAGCUGGCCAGAUUGCUUAUUGGAAAAUAAAAGUCAUGGCAAAUUGAGCUUGACAAUAACCAGGCUUGACUACAUAGGCCCCUUCUCCACUCUCUGCAAUUAGAAUGAGUGGAGGAGAGGAGGCCGACAGGGAAAGACUUUUCCUCUGCUCUGUCACAGAUCAGUCUUAGUUUAUUUUGUGGGGCACAAGCCAUAUGUUGUGUGUGGAAGGGCUGUUCUCUCUCAGCUCGAGACUCUGCUGUUGUGCCUCCAGGCCGGUGAGGUGCCGCAGCUUCCAACUUGCAGGCUCCUUAAGAAGUGUGUGAAAACCGGAAGCCAAGCUGUACCAUGCUGUAGUCACAUUUAAAUUAAACUAAAGUCCCACGAGCCUCCUUUCAAGGGCUCAUGGCCUUGUGGGGCUAGGGGCGACUGCAUGGGACCAUGUAGAUACCGAACAUCUCUCACAUCCCAAAAAGUUCUGUUGGACAGCCCUGAUCCAAAAAAGCUCACUGGGUGCCAAGAGGCCCUUCCUUCUUUGUUCAUAGAUUCUGGAAUCGUGGCUACCUUUGUGGUGAAGAAGACAACCGAGUCUGUUAGAAGUUGAGAAUUCUCUGGGUGUGUGCAUCUAUCAGGAGAGCAGGUGCCACAAAUCUGUGACUCAGGACUCAGAUCAAGGAACCUUACACCAAGGACAGACUCUGAGCUAACCUCAAUUUUUUAAAAAAGUAGGAACAUAAACUGUGCAAAUGUUGAUUUUACCAACCUGCAAAAGGCACGUGGAAUGCUUUUCUCUGUAUUUGCUACCUUUCUACUGUUACUCAUGAGCGAUCCCUGGCAAAACUUUUUAUCUUCUCUGUGGCUCUGCAUGUCUUCCAUCACUGAUGACAAGAAUCACAGAGGCUUCGAUAAUUCACCUGUGCUCACAGGACAUUGAAAUCGUAAUUGUGAGGCUCAACACCCUCUACCCGUAAGCCCAGUCACUACAGCUGGUUCCACCAGCUUCAUACCUAAAAUACCUUAGUUUCUAGAUGUUGCCUGCAUUGUAUAUUAUGAACCCCCAA